AAGUCGAACGAGACCUUCGGGUCUAGUGGCGCACGGGUGCGUAACGCGUGGGAAUCUGCCCUUGGGUUCGGAAUAACAGUGAGAAAUUGCUGCUAAUACCGGAUGAUGUCUUCGGACCAAAGAUUUAUCGCCCAGGGAUGAGCCCGCGUAGGAUUAGCUAGUUGGUGGGGUAAUGGCCUACCAAGGCGACGAUCCUUAGCUGGUCUGAGAGGAUGAUCAGCCACACUGGGACUGAGACACGGCCCAG
rnacentral:rRNA from 1 species